rnacentral:misc_RNA from 1 species
AUAAAUAAUAAAUCAACUUUUAUAUUAUUAAACUAAUACUUUAAUAAUAGAGUGUUUAUCUCAUAAUAUAAGACGUCAAUGUUUAAACUCUAAUAGCCUUAUUCCCUUCCAAAAAAUUUCAACUGAUUCACAUAAUCGAUGAGCAAGUACUUUUAAUCACUAAAUGCAGAGCGAACUGACCUCUUCUCUCAAAUUAGCAACUUUUGAGGUAAUAUGUACAUGAAAUCCUUACUCUUUUCAUUUACACGGUUGGUAUGAGCUCUUUACUUCAUGCCACAAGCAAAACAACGUGUCAUAAACAUCAUCGUUGUCAAAAUUACAAUCUCCAAUUUGUGAGACGUUUAGUAAAGUCUUCAGCCAAUCUUCAUGGAGAGUUGAGAACUCUGAUCUCUGUUCACUUGAAUUGAAACUUUCUCCAAUUGAUUUUUUCAUCACUUGGCCAGCCUUUGAAGCAGCAUCCACCACCAUUUCAGGGAUUCCAGCCAUAAUAGCCACUUGUAAUCCAUAACUCUCAGGGCAUGCUCCAGAGGCAAGCCGAUAUAGAAAAACCAGAUCCUGGUCACCUUCGGAAUAGUUUUCUGAUUUUGACUUAACAGCACAGGCCAUGUGUUGCAGUGUGACAUGUGGAUGAGACGCAAAUUCCUUUGUGAGAGGAUGAUAGUGUGUUGCAAAAAGCAAUCGGCAAUUUACUUUCUCAACAAGAUGACAGAACACUGCAUAUGCAAUGGCAUAUCCAUCAAAAGUGCUUGUUCCUCGACCUAGUUCAUCAAGAAGAACAAGAGAAUCUUGUGUGGCAUUUUGAAGAACGGACGCUGUUUCUGUGCACUCAAUGAAGAAUGUACCUGCAAAAGUAAAUGUGUUUCCAGUCAAAUUAUAAAACUUGAAAAGCCUAGAUGCGUGAUCAUACUCAUUUAUGCAACUGCCUGCGUCAUGUGCACGUGUUUUUAAAAUUCUCAGCUUCAAUCUAUGAAAGAGAACCGUCUGCAUUAAGAGAUGAAUUCCAAAUGAUUUGCCAAGGCAAUGCAACCAUGCCUCAUUUCAGCAAUGACCAUGUUUUUCAUUACUACAGUGAAAUGAUUGUGGUCAUAAAUCAAGGAAUUCCUUUUAAAGGAUAUUAUGCCACAUGUAAAUUUGAUCUCUCUAUUUUAUUGAUCAAUAUGAAAUUUUAUAAUCAUAGGAUGCCAAUUUAUAAUUCUUGAUAAGAUACAAGUUGGAAGGAAAAGAUCCAAUACACCUCAAUGCUAUCACCAUCACCAAUACAAACAUAACCACCAUGUAUAACACCAACUCCAAUCUCAUAGUCACCACUCCAAGCAGCCAAAAGCAUGAUUAAAAUAGCAUUCAACGAUCUCGCCAGUCAUAAUUCGAUCAGUGGCACCAAGCCGUGUGAAGAUGACAUCAACAACUGAGAGAACACACUUCUCACCAGGCACAAAACAGCCAAGCUGAGCCAGUAUAACGGCCAGACAUGUGGCACGCAAAAGGGUUGAUUUUCCACCCAUAUUUGGUCCAGUCAGCAGUAAAGUGCAAGGAUGGUAGCCACCUGAAUCCUCACCUAGGUGCAAGUCAUUUGGGACAGGCAGUCCUCCAUUCUCUCCAAGAGCAAAUGGAUGCCACAGACCUUUAAUUUUAAGUACAGGUCCUCUGGUUUCUUGGGUAAAGGCAGCAGUUUUUGAUUCAGGCAAAAUAACAGGCCUGGACAUAGAUCCAGAUGACAUGCUUGCAGUGAUCGCAAAAGAUCUUAGAACAUCGAUACAAUUGAUAGCAUGGAUCAUUUCAGACCAUUGCGCAGAUUUCUCAAUAAAUAAUUCAAUCAGCACAGAUAGUGUUUCAGCCUCUGACUCUGUUACAUCAUGGUUCUGGUAAUUAGGGAACUCACUAUCCACAGCUGCUUCAAAUUGGGCAAGGAAUUUGCCGAGCCCAGCACUUCCACUUAGCUCAGGAAGUGUAAAAUUUUUUGAUAAUAAUGACAUUAUUUUGCCUUCCUCCUCUAAGAGCAAUAAUAAAUCCAUUCCAAUUCGAAGUCCUUUCACCAAAGACCCAAACACUUUCACUCGCUGUUUCAACACUUUCUUGCCAAUUAAGGGGAGUACUACAAGGGAAGCUGAUGCCUGAAAACUUGCCUUGACUCGUCCAAGCAUCCUUUCUAUAUCUGGAAGCUUGCGUAGAUAUUGUGCAACAACUAACAUAAUUUCUGAAUUUGCCAUUAGAUCCUCGACUACAUUAAGCCUAUUAUUAAUGCCUUCAACACAUUUCAGUGGAUGGCAGAUCCACUUCCUUAAAAGCCGCUUACCAGAUGACGUCACACAGUUAUCAAGAUAUUUAAACAAUGUACCCGAUAAACCACCAUCAGCAUUAUUAUUGAAAAUUUCAAGAUUAAUCAGAGUCUGUCCAUCCAUUCUGAGGCAACCUUUAUAAACCUGGUAGGGAAAAAUAUCUCCAUUCCGCAAAACAUCGUCUAACAUCAACCUGGACAGAUGAUCAAUAAGUCCACCAAGAGCACAUAGGGCUGUAUCAUGGUUCAUUACACUGUCAAGUGCAUUAUUCCAUGGGUUAGAAGACCCUCUAAGGUAACCCUUGGACUGAAUCAAAUUUCUAACUUCAGAAGCAUCCAGGAAAUCACUGGUGGGUGGAACUGGUGUCAACUGCAGUGUUGUUGAACCAGUUAAUGAGUAUUUUCUGAGAGCUUUCUGUGCUUCUUUGGACAUGCCUCUGCUUUCAUAUAUAACUUCCCUAGGUGACACCUGCAUCAAUAAUGCCCCCAAAGCAGCAAAGGAAGUAUCAUCGUUGACAGAACCAACCCAAAAUCGUAAAGCAGCACAAUCAACAAAAGCAAAUCCAUAAACAGUUGCCCCAUUAUCCAGCCCAUAAUUUCCCUCUUUUAUAGCAAGAAGAUGAACUGCAUCAGGCCCAAUGUUACCAUCUGUUAAUGUAGAUGGUGUCACAACUUGAACUAAUUUUCUUGGAAUUACAGAAUUUGCACCCCUAGCUUUUGCUUGAUCAGAUGUUUCCAACUGCUCUAUUCGUCCAACUUUAUAUCCACGAGCAACCAGCUUUUCAACAGCAUCAUCAAUCCCACUUUCAGAUAUACCAACCUGCCGACACUUCCCCACACCACUUAAUGUCAUUUUCCAAUCCAGCUCCUUGUGGCCAAUUUCAGCAUCCAGUUCAUAAAGUUCAUAGAAUUUUCCCACUUUAAAGAAAAGAACAACAUCCAUGUACUGAGAUUUGACACUCCAAUAUUGUUUUUGAGAUGCUGACAUUUUCUUUAAUGCAUCAGCUGGUAUAUAUAGUGUCUUUUUGUCAUAGAGAGGAUCACUGGGCCUUCUCCCAUUGGCAUCCCUAAUUCGCAGAGGGUCAAGCCACUCAAAUUUGGUAGUUGAAUCAGAUAUUCCAUCAUGGUUCUUGCUUGGGGAUGUUGAAUCAAGAAGAAGUUUCACUCUCUUGCCAGCAUUUAACAAGGAAAGACCAUUCUUCCCAUCAAACUUAGAACCAUCCUCUUGAAUUCGCUUCAAACGAGGAACUAGAGGUAGCACACCCGGUGUCUCUGGCCCAGGAACAUCACCAUUGCUUCUGACAAGUACUAUGCCUCCAUUAUCAACUGCCCCAUUGGAGCUGAAAGCAUUGUCCUUUUCAGGAUGUUGAGGAGCUGCUUCUUCUUUGGUGAGUCCUUCUGGAUCAGUAAAACUCUCCAGAGGCUUUUCUUUGUGAUCGACCUUCACGAACUUAUGCAUAAUGCUCGUGAAAAGUGAAGAACUACCGCUGCUCUCAUUCUGCUCGAAGCUCCCGGGGAGAAUCUGACGUGGCACCUUCUCUGGUGGGGUAUCGGUUCCCCUAAUUUCCAGAGACGAGUCCAGUGAACCAUGACUAUGAAUCUCAGGUUCACUCGAAGAGGUGACCUCUUGUUUCUGCUGCUUUGCCAGGAAAUGAAGUUUCUGCCCGUUAAUAGUGUCUCCGGCGCCGGAGCUCUGAUUGGCCGGCGAGGGUUUUUGGAAGAAUGAUAGGAUCGAUUUCUGUCGCUGCAUU